AUCCUCCCGUAGUUCAUGAGCAUGAUGAUUGGGUGGUCACGUCUUGGUGUGGCACAGCGCCUCCCACAAACUUGUCACGACGUCGGCGCGUUACCCAUCUCACU